UACGAAGGGGGCUAGCGUUGUUCGGAAUUACUGGGCGUAAAGCGCGCGCAGGCGGUUCUCCAAGUCAGUGGUGAAAGCCCGGAGCUCAACUCCGGAACUGCCAUUGAAACUGUUGAACUUGGGGACGAGAGAGGUGAGUGGAAUUCCCAGUGUAGAGGUGAAAUUCGUAGAUAUUGGGAAGAACACCGGUGGCGAAGGCGGCUCACUGGCUCGUAUCUGACGCUCAGGCGCGAUAGCGUGGGGAUCAAACAGG
rnacentral:rRNA from 1 species